rnacentral:rRNA from 1 species
AGCAGCCGCGGUAAUUCCAGCUCCAAUAGCGUAUAUUAAAGUUGUUGCAGUUAAAAAGCUCGUAGUUGAAUUUCGGGGUUAGUAGGUUGGUCAUGCCUCUGGUAUGUACUGGUCUCACUGAUUCCUCCUUCCUGAUGAGCCGUAAUGCCAUUAAUUUGGUGUUGCGGGGAAUUUGGACUGUUACUUUGAAAAAAUUAGAGUGUUUAAAGCAAGCUAACGCUUGAAUACGUUAGCAUGGAAUAAUGAAGUAGGACGUUCGAUCCUAUUUUGUUGGUUUCUAGGAUUGACGUAAUGAUUAAUAGGGAUAGUUGGGGGCAUUAGUAUUCAAUUGUCAGAGGUGAAAUUCUUGGAUUUAUUGAAGACUAACUACUGCGAAAGCAUUUGCCAAGGAUGUUUUCAUUAAUCAAGAACGAAAGUUAGGGGAUCGAAGACGAUCAGAUACCGUCGUAGUCUUAACCAUAAACUAUGCCGACUAGGGAUCGGAUGAUGUUAAUUUUUAAUGACUCAUUCGGCGCCUUAC